AAUGUUUUCAUGUUGCAUUUGUUGCAAACAAAAUCAUCAUCACUCUCAUGUAUCUCAUUAGCAUGUCCUUGAUUUUGAAUAAUUUCUUUGCCACAGGUGUGGCACAAUAAUAAGCCAUCUCUUAAGUGUGAUUUCCAGUGACGUUUGAGACUUUGUCGUUUUGUGAAUGUUUUCUGGCAGAUACCGCACUCCAAGCUCUCAUUUCUCUUGUGUGCUGAUAUUUUAUGUUGUGUUAACUUGUGUGAUUCUGAAAAUCUUGUGUUGCAAACGUCACAUUGGUAAGGUUUUUCUCCAGUGUGUGUUCUUUUAUGCCUAGUUAGGUCGCUUGAGCGCGAAAUUCUUUUCUGGCAAACAUCACAUUCAUAAGGUUUUUCUCCAGUGUGUGUUCUCUUAUAAACCGCUAGGUGACUUGAUUGUGAAAAUCUUUUCUUGCAAACAUCACAUUCAUAAGGUUUCUCUACAGUGUGUGGUCUCUUAUGAACCGAUAGGUGGCUCGACCGUGAAAAUCUUUUGUUGCAAACAUCACAUUCAUAAGGUUUCUCUCCAGUAUGUGUUCUCUUAUGUUUAGUUAGGGUGCCUGGGUGAGAAAAUCUUUUGCUGCAAACAUCACAUUCAUAAGGUUUCUCGCCAGUGUGUGUUCUCUUAUGAACCGUUAAAUAACUUGAGUGUGAAAAUCGUUUGUUGCAAACAUCACAUUCAUAAGGUUUGUCUCCAGUGUGUGUUCUCUUAUGAACCGCCAAGUGGCCGGACCGUGAAAAUCUUUUGUUGCAAACAUCACAUUCAUAAGGUUUGUCUCCAGUGUGUGUUCUCUUAUGAAUCGCUAACUGACUUGAGUGUGAAAAUUGUUUGUUGCAAACAUCACAUUCAUAAGAUUUGUCUCCAAUGUGUGUUCUUUUAUGUUUAGUUAGGGUGCUUGGGUCAGAAAAUCUUUUGUUGCAAACAUCACAUUUAUAAGGUUUCUUUCCAGUGUGUGUUCUUUCAUGUAAAGCCAAGGUGUCUGAUCGGGAAAAUCUUUUGUUGCAAACAUCACAUUCAUAAGGUUUGUCUCCAGUGUGUGUUCUCUUAUGACCCGCUAAGUUACUUGAUUGUGAAAAUCUUUUGUUGCAAACAUCACAUUCAUAAGGUUUGUCUCCAGUGUGUGUUCUCUUAUGACCCGCUAAGUUACUUGAGUGUGAAAAUCUUUUGUUACAAACAUCACAUUCAAAAGGUUUGUCCCCAGUGUGUGUUCUCUUAUGAACGGUUAAAUUGCUUAACUUAGAAAAUCUUUUAUUGCAAACGUCACAUUCAUAAGGUUUGUCUUCACUGUGUGUUCUUUUAUGUCUCACCAAAUUUCCCUUCUUUGAAAAUACCUUGUUUGUAACCUCACAUUUCCUGGACAUGGUUUCAGCUUUUGAUCUUUUCCUCGUACGGUCAAAUAUUGAUAAAAAUAUCACCCAACCGUUCUCCCGAGUCUUUCUUUAUUGAAUCUUUAUAAUACUUCGCUUCUUGCACAAUUUCUGAUCAUAAAAAUGAGAAUAUUCAGAGAUACAGUUCGCAAACAACAUGAGUAUCAAAAUAUGGC
rnacentral:lncRNA from 1 species